ensembl:rRNA 5S_rRNA 5S ribosomal RNA
UGUUGCCAUACCAUCUUGAAUAUGCCUGAUCUUGUGUGAUCUCAGGAACUAAGCAGGGUUGGGAUGUAGCAUCCA